UACGGGGGGAGCAAGCGUUGUUCGGAUUUACUGGGCGUAAAGGGCGCGUAGGCGGUAGCACAAGUCAGUUGUGAAAUCUCCGGGCUUAACUCGGAAAGGUCAACUGAUACUGUGCGACUAGAGUGCAGAAGGGGCAACUGGAAUUCUCGGUGUAGCGGUGAAAUGCGUAGAGCUCGGGAAGAACAUCGGUGGCGAAAGCGCUCUGCUGGACUGCAACUGACACUCAGGGACGAAAGCUAGGGGAGCGAAUGGG
rnacentral:rRNA from 1 species